rnacentral:rRNA from 1 species
AUGGCUCAGGAUGAACGCUGGCGGCGUGCCUAACACAUGCAAGUCGAGCGGAGUUAGGGGAAGCGGAUUCGUCCAACGGAACCUAAACUUAGCGGCGGAUGGGUGAGGAACGCGUGGAUAACCUACCGUGCACAGGGGGAUAACAGUUGGAAACGACUGUUAAUACCGCAUAUGCUCACAGUACCGCAUGGUACAGGGAGGAAAGAUUUAUCGGUGCAUGAUGGAUCCGCGUCGGAUUAGCCGGUUGGCGGGGUAACGGCCCACCAAAGCGAUGAUCCGUAGCCGGCCUGAGAGGGCGACCGGCCACAUUGGGACUGAGACACGGCCCAAACUCCUACGGGAGGCAGCAGUGGGGGAUAUUGCACAAUGGGGGAAACCCUGAUUGCAGCGACGCCGCGUGAAGGAAGAAGUAUUUCGGUAUGUAAACUUCUAUCAGCAGGGAAGAAAAUGACGGUACCUGACUAAGAAGCCCCGGCUAACUACGUGCCAGCAGCCGC